rnacentral:ncRNA from 1 species
AUAGCGUAAGCCGAAAAGCUAAAAAUGAGUAGGCA